rnacentral:rRNA from 1 species
GAUGAACGCUGGCGGCGUGCUUAACACAUGCAAGUCGAACGGAAAGGCUCCUGCUUGCAGGGGUACUCGAGUGGCGAACGGGUGAGUAACACGUGGGUGAUCUGCCCUGCACUUCGGGAUAAGCCUGGGAAACUGGGUCUAAUACCGGAUAGGACCACAUUUUGGAUGGUGUGGUGGAAAGUUUUUCGGUGUGGGAUGAGCUCGCGGCCUAUCAGCUUGUUGGUGGGGUAAUGGCCUACCAAGGCGUCGACGGGUAGCCGGCCUGAGAGGGUGUACGGCCACAUUGGGACUGAGAGACGGCACAGACUCCUACGGGAGGCAGCAGUGGGGAAUAUUGCACAAUGGGCGCAAGCCUGAUGCAGCGGCGCCGCGUGUGGUAUGACGGCCUUCGGGUUGUAAACUCCUUUCGCUAGGGACGAAGCGCAAGUGACGGUACCUGGUGAAGAGGCACCGGCUAACUACGUG